rnacentral:rRNA from 1 species
AAUCAUACUGUGAAACUGCGAAUGGCUCAUUAAAUCAGUUAUCGUUUAUUUGAUAGUACCUUUACCUGGAUAACCGUGGUAAUUCUAGAGCUAAUACAUGCUAAAAACCCCGACUUCGGAAGGGGUGUAUUUAUUAGAUAAAAAACCAAUGCCCUCUGGGCUCCUUGGUGAUUCAUAAUAACUAAACGAAUCGCAUGGCCUUGCGCCGGCGAUGGUUCAUUCAAAUUUCUGCCCUAUCAACUUUCGAUUGUAAGAUAGAGGCUUACAAUGGUCUUAACGGGUAACGGGGAAUUAGGGUUCUAUUCCGGAGAGGGAGCCUGAGAAACGGCUACCACAUCCAAGGAAGGCAGCAGGCGCGCAAAUUACCCAAUGCUAAUUCAGCGAGGUAGUGACAAUAAAUACUGAUACGGGGCUCUUUCGGGUCUCGUAAUUGGAAUGAGUACAAUCUAAAUCCCUUAACGAGGAACAAUUGGAGGGCAAGUCUGGUGCCAGCAGCCGCGGUAAUUCCAGCUCCAAUAGCGUAUAUUAAAGUUGUUGCCGUUAAAAAGCUCGUAGUUGAACCUUGGACCUGGCUGAUCUGUCCUCCUAAUCGAGCGCACGGAUUCGGUCGGGUCUUUCCUUCUGGGGAGCCCUAUGCCCUUCACUGGGUGUAGUGGGGAACCAGGACUUUUACCUUGAAAAAAUUAGAGUGUUCAAAGCAGGCCUUUGCUCGAAUACAUUAGCAUGGAAUAAUAGAAUAGGACAUCGGUUCUAUUUUGUUGGUUUCUAGGACCGCUGUAAUGAUUAAUAGGGAUAGUCGGGGGCGUCAGUAUUCAAUUGUCAGAGGUGAAAUUCUUGGAUUUAUUGAAGACUAACUACUGCGAAAGCAUUCGCCAAGGAUGUUUUCAUUAAUCAGUGAACGAAAGUUAGGGGAUCGAAGACGAUCAGAUACCGUCGUAGUCUUAACCAUAAACUAUGCCGACUAGGGAUCGGACGGUGGUUUUUUUAUGCCCCGUUCGGCACC